GCGGUGGUGACCGAGUGGUUAAGGUGACCGAUUUAAGCCAAUACAAACGCACUUGUAGUGAGCGCCCGGUUCUCGAAAGAGGUCGCGAGUUCGACUCUCGCCCGCCGCA